GACGAACGCUGGCGGCGUGCCUAAUACAUGCAAGUUGAGCGCUGAAGGUUGGUACUUGUACCAACUGGAUGAGCAGCGAACGGGUGAGUAACGCGUGGGGAAUCUGCCUUUGAGCGGGGGACAACAUUUGGAAACGAAUGCUAAUACCGCAUAAAAACUUUAAACACAAGUUUUAAGUUUGAAAGAUGCAACUGCAUCACUCAAAGAUGAUCCCGCGUUGUAUUAGCUAGUUGGUGAGGUAAAGGCUCACCAAGGCGAUGAUACAUAGCCGACCUGAGAGGGUGAUCGGCCACAUUGGGACUGAGACACGGCCCAAACUCCUACGGGAGGCAGCAGUAGGGAAUCUUCGGCAAUGGACGAAAGUCUGACCGAGCAACGCCGCGUGAGUGAAGAAGGUUUUCGGAUCGUAAAACUCUGUUGGUAGAGAAGAACGUUGGUGAGAGUGGAAAGCUCAUCAAGUGACGGUAACUACCCAGAAAGGGACGGCUAACUACAUG
rnacentral:rRNA from 1 species